rnacentral:rRNA from 1 species
AUGAACGCUGGCGGCGUGCCUAAUACAUGCAAGUCGAGCGAACAGACGAGGAGCUUGCUCCUCUGACGUUAGCGGCGGACGGGUGAGUAACACGUGGAUAACCUACCUAUAAGACUGGGAUAACUUCGGGAAACCGGAGCUAAUACCGGAUAAUAUAUUGAACCGCAUGGUUCAAUAGUGAAAGACGGUUUUGCUGUCACCUAUAGAUGGAUCCGCGCCGCAUUAGCUAGUUGGUAAGGUAACGGCUUACCAAGGCGACGAUGCGUAGCCGACCUGAGAGGGUGAUCGGCCACACUGGAACUGAGACACGGUCCAGACUCCUACGGGAGGCAGCAGUAGGGAAUCUUCCGCAAUGGGCGAAAGCCUGACGGAGCAACGCCGCGUGAGUGAUGAAGGUCUUCGGAUCGUAAAACUCUGUUAUUAGGGAAGAACAAAUGUGUAAGUAACUAUGCACGUCUUGACGGUACCUAAUCAGAAAGCCACGGCUAACUACGUG